rnacentral:rRNA from 1 species
AUGCAUCCCGCCUUCCGCCGCUGCCUUCUCCUCUCCCUCGGCCUCAUCUCGGCCUCCCUCCUCGCGCCUCGGGCGGGCGCUGGAGAUGCCGCGGCAAUGCAGGCGCUGCGCCGGGGGCUGGCGCCGCCGGACUGGGCCGCCGCGCCGGCGGACCACUGCGCCUGGCGCGGCGUCACGUGCGGCGGCGCCCGCGAGGUCACCGCGGUCGAGCUGCCCCGCCGGGGCCUCCGCGGCGACUUCUCGGCCGCCGCCGGGCUCCGCGCGCUGGCGCGGCUCGAUCUCUCCUUCAACGCGCUCUCCGGGGCCGUCCCCGCGGCGCUCGGCGCGCUCGCCCGCCUCGAGCUCCUCGACCUCUCCAUGAACAGGCUCUCCGGCCCCAUCCCGCCCGCCCUCGGCCUCGCCGCCGGCCUCAAGUUCCUGAACCUCUCCAACAACGCCCUCUCCGGCUCCAUCCCCGACGAGCUCAGGGGCCUCAAGGAGCUCCAGGAAGUGCAGAUUUCGGCCAACAACCUCACCGGCGCCAUCCCCGGCUGGCUCGCCGGCCUCCCCGGCCUCCGCGUGCUCUCCGCUUACGAGAACGCGCUCUCGGGGCCGAUCCCGCCCGGGCUCGGGCUCUCGUCCAAUCUCCAGGUGCUCAACCUCCACUCCAACGGCCUCGAGGGGAGCAUACCGAGCAGCCUCUUCGACCUUGGCAAUCUGCAGGUUCUGAUCCUCACCGUGAAUAGGCUCAACGGCACCAUCCCGGAUUCAAUCGGCCGGUGCCUCGGCCUAUCCAACGUGCGCAUCGGCAACAAUCGCCUCGCGGGCGCCAUCCCGGCAUCCAUUGGCGACGCCACCAGCCUGACCUACUUUGAGGCCGACAGCAACCAGCUGUCCGGCAGCAUCCCCGCUCAGUUUGCACGCUGCGCCAACCUGACGCUGCUGAAUUUGGCCUACAACCGCCUUGUCGGCGAGGUGCCGGACAUGCUUGGGGAGCUGAGAAACCUGCAAGAGCUCAUCAUCUCCGGCAAUGGCCUCGGUGGCGAGUACCCGAGGUCCAUUCUGCGGUGCCGGAACUUGAGCAAGCUGGACUUGAGCUACAACGCUUUCCGCGGCGGCUUGCCAGACACCAUCUGCAACGGAUCCAGGCUGCAGUUUCUUGUGCUCGAUCAUAACGAGUUCUCGGGCAGCAUCCCGCACGGUAUCGGUGGCUGCAGCCGGCUUCUCGAGCUGCAGCUUGCCAACAACAACCUGAGUGGUGAGAUACCAGCCGAAAUGGGCAAGAUCAAGAGCUUACAGAUUGCGCUGAACCUCAGCUUCAAUCACCUUUCAGGGCCGCUGCCCCGUGAGCUUGGGCGGCUCGAUAAGCUCGUGGCGCUGGAUUUAUCUAGCAAUGAGAUAUCUGGUGAGAUCCCUGCUGACAUGAGAGGGAUGCUGAGCUUGAUAGUAGUCAACCUGUCAAACAACCGGCUCCGUGGUGCCAUACCGGUGUUCGGGCCGUUUCAGAAGAGUGCAGGGUCCAGUUUCUCCGGCAAUGCCAAGCUGUGCGGCGACCCGCUGGAUGUGGACUGUGGACCGAUUUAUGGCUCCAAUUAUGGAUCGGACCACAGGAAGAUAUCUUACAGGGUGGCCCUGGCAGUUGCUGGGUCCUGCGUGCUCAUCUUCUCAGUGGUAUCAUUGGUGGUCACGUUGUUCAUGUGGCGUGAGAGGCAGGAGAAGGAGGCCGACGCAAAGAAGGCCGAGGCAGGGGAGGCGGUCGUCGUCGAAGCGAGGCAUGUCAUGGCUUCAAGUGUGUUCAUUGAGAGCUUGCAGCAGGCCAUUGAUUUCCAGACCUGUGUCCAGGCGACGUUCAAGGACGCCAGUGCACUGAGGAGCGGCACGUUCAGCACGACCUACAAGGCUGUCAUGCCAUCAGGCAUGGUGGUGUGUGUGAAGAAGCUGAAGUCGGUCGACCGCGCGGUCGUCCACCACCAGGCCAAGAUGAUCCGGGAGCUCGAGCGACUCGCGCACAUAAACCAUCCCAACCUUGUGCGUCCCAUUGGGUAUGUCAUCUACGAGGAUGUUGCGUUGCUGCUGCAGUAUGACAUGCCGAAUGGAACAUUGCUUCAGCUGCUGCACGGUUCAAACAACUGUGAUGGUGACCAAGAGAAGCCUGACUGGCCAAAGCUGUUGUCAAUCGCGAUUGGCGUCGCCGAAGGGCUGGCCUUCCUCCACCAGAUUGCCACCAUCCACCUCGAUAUUUCUUCGGGUAAUGUCUUCCUUGACUCGCACUACAACGCGCUUCUUGGCGAAGUUGAGAUCUCCAAGCUGCUGGACCCUUCAAAGGGCACUGCCAGCAUCAGCGCGGUAGCUGGCACAUUUGGUUAUAUACCUCCAGAGUAUGCCUACUCAAUGCAGGUUACUGUACCAGGAAAUGUGUACAGCUUCGGGGUACUGCUGUUGGAGAUCCUGACGUCCAAGAUGCCGGUGGACGAGGAGUUUGGCGAGGGUGUGGACCUUGUCAAGUGGGUGCACUCUGCGCCGGAGAGGGGGGAGACGCCGGAGCAGAUCAUGGACCCGAGGCUGAGCACCGUGUCGUUUGCGUGGCGGAGGCAGAUGCUCGCCGUGCUCAAGGUCGCGAUGCUAUGCACGGAGCGCGCCCCGGCGAAGCGGCCCAAGAUGAAGAAGGCUGUAGAGAUGCUGCAGGAGGCCAAGAACAGCUGA